UGGACUUAUAUUUUUGAAGUUAUGAAGGUUUGAAGUGCAUGAGUCGACUCAUGAGUCAACUCAUGGCACAAUGAGCUGAUUGGCACGCAAAAAUUUCUCUUGGCACGUUGGAUUUUUGGCUUGGCACGACCUGUGAGUCGACUCAUGAGUCGACCUCUGCUGAUUUGGGCCAAAAAAUCCAGAAAUCAAAGUUUCUGGCUAAUGCAACAGAAGUCGACUCAUGAGUCGACUCCUGAAGCAUGAGUCGACUCAUGAGUCGACCCCUGCGACGGAAAAUGUCCGCAACGGCUAGUUUUUUGCCCAUUUUAGUUGCCUUUUAUGCUUCCUAAAAAUGCUCUAACGGCUCUUUUUCUGCCUAAUAUGUUUUCUCUUAUUUCUUAAUGCUAUAAAAUAUUUCAAAAGGUGAAAAUACAAGAUACAAUUGAGAG
rnacentral:lncRNA from 1 species